UUACAGUCAUAUCACGUUGAAACACCGGUUCCCGUACGAAGUUAAGCAACAUCGAGCCUGGUCAGUACCUAGAUGGGUGACCGCUUGGGAAUGUGAGGUGAUGUA
rnacentral:rRNA from 1 species